rnacentral:lncRNA from 1 species
AGUCAAUGAUUUGCCUUUCAGAGCUGGAGCAAGACAGAGCAGUGCUGGAUCCAAGACUGCCAACAUGUUGUGUGCUGCCAAAUGAGCUAGCUGCAAAGAGAAGCAUAUGGAAAGCCUUGUAAAAACAGAGGGAAUAUUCUCAAGACCGCAGUUUUAACAACUGUACUAACAGUAUGUACUGCUAUGAAGCUUUGUGAAAUAGCUGUUUCCACUGGGGAGAGAUCAGCCUUGGCUUAGAGUUAGGAAUAAAUGAAAAUCUUUGAGCA